GACGAACGCUGGCGGCGUGCCUAAUACAUGCAAGUCGAACGCAGUGGGGACGGGUGAGUAACACGUGGGUAACCUCCCAUCAGAGGGGAUAACACUUGGAAACAGGUGCUAAACCGAUACUGAUGGAUGGACCCGCGGGGCAUUAGCUAGUUGGUGAGGUAACGGCUCACCAAGGCCACGAUGCAUAGCUGGCCUGAAAGGGUGAUCGGCCAAACGGGGAUGGAGACCCGGCCCAGACCCUUACGGGAGGCAGCAGUAGGGAAUCUUCGGCAAGUGACGAAAGUCUGACCGAGCAACGCCGCGGGAGGGAAGAAGGUUUUCGGAGCGUAAAACUCUGUUGUUAGGGAAGCGGUAUCUAACCAGAAAGCCACGGCUAACUCCGUGCCAGCCGCCGCGGUAAUUC
rnacentral:rRNA from 1 species